GAUCCUGGCUCAGGAUGAACGCUGGCGGCGUGCCUAAUACAUGCAAGUCGAGCGAACGGACGAGAAGCUUGCUUCUCUGAUGUUAGCGGCGGACGGGUGAGUAACACGUGGAUAACCUACCUAUAAGACUGGGAUAACUUCGGGAAACCGGAGCUAAUACCGGAUAAUAUUUUGAACCGCAUGGUUCAAAAGUGAAAGACGGUCUUGCUGUCACUUAUAGAUGGAUCCGCGCUGCAUUAGCUAGUUGGUAAGGUAACGGCUUACCAAGGCAACGAUGCAUAGCCGACCUGAGAGGGUGAUCGGCCACACUGGAACUGAGACACGGUCCAGACUCCUACGGGAGGCAGCAGUAGGGAAUCUUCCGCAAUGGGCGAAAGCCUGACGGAGCAACGCCGCGUGAGUGAUGAAGGUCUUCGGAUCGUAAAACUCUGUUAUUAGGGAAGAACAUAUGUGUAAGUAACUGUGCACAUCUUGACGGUACCUAAUCAGAAAGCCACGGCUAACUACGUGCCAGCAGCCGCGGUAAUACGUAGGUGGCAAGCGUUAUCCGGAAUUAUUGGGCGUAAAGCGCGCGUAGGCGGUUUUUUAAGUCUGAUGUGAAAGCCCACGGCUCAACCGUGGAGGGUCAUUGGAAACUGGAAAACUUGAGUGCAGAAGAGGAAAGUGGAAUUCCAUGUGUAGCGGUGAAAUGCGCAGAGAUAUGGAGGAACACCAGUGGCGAAGGCGACUUUCUGGUCUGUAACUGACGCUGAUGUGCGAAAGCGUGGGGAUCAAACAGGAUUAGAUACCCUGGUAGUCCACGCCGUAAACGAUGAGUGCUAAGUGUUAGGGGGUUUCCGCCCCUUAGUGCUGCAGCUAACGCAUUAAGCACUCCGCCUGGGGAGUACGACCGCAAGGUUGAAACUCAAAGGAAUUGACGGGGACCCGCACAAGCGGUGGAGCAUGUGGUUUAAUUCGAAGCAACGCGAAGAACCUUACCAAAUCUUGACAUCCUUUGACAACUCUAGAGAUAGAGCCUUCCCCUUCGGGGGACAAAGUGACAGGUGGUGCAUGGUUGUCGUCAGCUCGUGUCGUGAGAUGUUGGGUUAAGUCCCGCAACGAGCGCAACCCUUAAGCUUAGUUGCCAUCAUUAAGUUGGGCACUCUAAGUUGACUGCCGGUGACAAACCGGAGGAAGGUGGGGAUGACGUCAAAUCAUCAUGCCCCUUAUGAUUUGGGCUACACACGUGCUACAAUGGACAAUACAAAGGGCAGCGAAACCGCGAGGUCAAGCAAAUCCCAUAAAGUUGUUCUCAGUUCGGAUUGUAGUCUGCAACUCGACUACAUGAAGCUGGAGUCGCUAGUAAUCGUAGAUCAGCAUGCUACGGUGAAUACGUUCCCGGGUCUUGUACACACCGCC
rnacentral:rRNA from 1 species